rnacentral:rRNA from 1 species
UGGAAGUAAAAGUCGUAACAAGGUCUCCGUUGGUGAACCAGCGGAGGGAUCAUUACCGAGUUAUCCAACUCCCAACCCCUGUGAAUCAUACCUUUAAUUGUUGCUUCGGCGGGACUUCGCGCCCGCCGGGGACCCAAACCUUCUGAAUUUUUUAAUAAGUAUCUUCUGAGUGGUUAAAAAAAAUGAAUCAAAACUUUCAACAACGGAUCUCUUGGUUCUGGCAUCGAUGAAGAACGCAGCGAAAUGCGAUAAGUAAUGUGAAUUGCAGAAUUCAGUGAAUCAUCGAAUCUUUGAACGCACAUUGCGCCCGUCAGUAUUCUGGCGGGCAUGCCUGUUCGAGCGUCAUUACGCCCCUCAAGUCCCCUGUGGACUUGGUGUUGGGGAUCGGCGAGGCUGGUUUUCCAGCACAGCCGUCCCUUAAAUUAAUUGGCGGUCUCGCCGUGGCCCUCCUCUGCGCAGUAGUAAAGCACUCGCAACAGGAGCCCGGCGCGGUCCACUGCCGUAAAACCCCCCAACUUUUUAUAGUUGACCUCGAAUCAGGUAGGACUACCCGCUGAACUUAAGCAUAUCAAUAAGCCGGAGGAA